UCUCCGUAGGUGAACCUGCGGAGGGAUCAUUACAGAGUACGUGCCCUCGCGGGUAGAUCUCCCACCCUGUGUUAUUGCUACCUUUGUUGCUUUGGCGGGCCGCCCUCGGCCACCGGCCCCGGCUGGUACGCGCCCGCCAGAGGACCCCAAACCCUGAACGUCAGUGUCGUCUGAGUACUAUACAAUAGUUAAAACUUUCAACAACGGAUCUCUUGGUUCUG
rnacentral:misc_RNA from 1 species